rfam:Vitis vinifera, whole genome shotgun sequence of line PN40024, unoriented chromosome 7, chr7
UCCUAAGUAACUUAGUGGUAGAGUGGGUCGGUUGUUAACGGACUGGUCGUAGGUUCGAAUCCUACUUGAGAAG